rnacentral:tRNA from 9 species
GCGGGAGUAGCUCAGUGGUAGAGCAUCGCCUUGCCAAGGCGAGGGUCGCGAGUUCAAAUCUCGUCUCCCGCUCCA